UGGGGAAUAUUGCACAAUGGGGGAAACCCUGAUGCAGCGACGCCGCGUGAACGAAGAAGGUAUUCGUAUCGUAAAGUUCUGUCCUAUGGGAAGAUAAUGACAGUACCAUAGAAGAAAGCUCCGGCUAAAUACGUGCCAGCAGCCGCGGUAAUACGUAUGGAGCGAGCGUUGUCCGGAAUUAUUGGGCGUAAAGGGUACGCAGGCGGUUUAAUAAGUCGAAUGUUAAAGAUCGGGGCUCAACCCCGCAAAGCAUUGGAAACUGAUAAACUUGAGUAGUGGAGAGGAAAGUGGAAUUCCAGUGUAGUGGUGAAAUACGUAGAUAUUAGGAGGAAUACCAGUAGCGAAGGCGACUUUCUGGACACAAACUGACGCUGAGGUACGAAAGCGUGGGGAGCAAACAGG
rnacentral:rRNA from 1 species